rnacentral:rRNA from 1 species
AGUGAACGCUGGCGGUAGGCCUAACACAUGCAAGUCGAACGGCAGCACAGUAAGAGCUUGCUCUUACGGGUAGCGAGUGGCGGACGGGUGAGGAAUACAUCGGAAUCUACUUUUUCGUGGGGGAUAACGUAGGGAAACUUACGCUAAUACCGCAUACGACCUACGGGUGAAAGCAGCGGAUCUUCGGACCUUGCGCGAUUGAAUGAGCCGAUGUCGGAUUAGCUAGUUGGCGGGGUAAAGGCCCACCAAGGCGACGAUCCGUAGCUGGUCUGAGAGGAUGAUCAGCCACACUGGAACUGAGACACGGUCCAGACUCCUACGGGAGGCAGCAGUGGGGAAUAUUGGACAAUGGGCGCAAGCCUGAUCCAGCCAUACCGCGUGGGUGAAGAAGGCCUUCGGGUUGUAAAGCCCUUUUGUUGGGAAAGAAAAGCAGCAGGUUAAUACCCCGCUGUUCUGACGGUACCCAAAGAAUAAGCACCGGCUAACUUCGUG